rnacentral:tRNA from 1 species
AUUUUUAUAGUGUAAUAUAACACAUUACAUUUUCGUUGUAAAGCUGAAGCUAAAGUUUCUAAAAAUU